UCUAGUGAUGAUGGCAAAGAGGUCACACCCGUUCCCAUAUCGAACACGGAAGUUAAGCUCUUUAGCGCCGAUGGUAGUUGGGGGCUUCCCCCUGCGAGAGUAGGACGUCGCUAGGC
rnacentral:rRNA from 1 species